rnacentral:rRNA from 1 species
AUUGAACGCUGGCGGCAGGCCUAACACAUGCAAGUCGAACGAGGGGCGGACUGGAGAGUAAUGUCUGGGAAACUGCCUGAUGGAGGGGGAUCACUACUGGAAACGGUAGCUAAUACCGCAUACCAUCGGAUGUGCCCAGAUGGGAGUAGGUAGUAGGCGGGGUAAAGGCUCACCUAGGCGACGAUCCCUAGCUGGUCUGAGAGGAUGACCAGCCACACUGGAGCUGAGACACGGUCCAGAAUCCCACGGGAGGCAGCAGUGGGGAAUAUUGGACAAUGGGCGCAAGCCGGAUGCAGCCACGCCGGGUGGAUGAAGAAGGCCUUCGGGUUGGAAAGUACUUUCAGCGGGGAGGCGUGACGCGCAGCAGAAGCACCGGCUAACUCCGUGACAACAGCCGCGGUAAUAC